rnacentral:rRNA from 1 species
GUAGGUGGCAAGCGUUGUCCGGAAUUAUUGGGCGUAAAGCGCGCGCAGGCGGUUCUUUAAGUCUGAUGUGAAAGCCCACGGCUCAACCGUGGAGGGUCAUUGGAAACUGGAGAACUUGAGUACAGAAGAGGAAAGCGGAAUUCCACGUGUAGCGGUGAAAUGCGUAGAGAUGUGGAGGGAACACCAGUGGCGAAGGCGGCUUUCUGGUCUGUAACUGACGCUGAGGCGCGAAAGCGUGGGGAGCAAACAGGAUUAGAUACUCUGGUAGUCCACGCCGUAAACGAUGAGUGCUAAGUGUUAGGGGGUUUCCGCCCUUAGUGCUGCAGCUAACGCAUUAAGCACUCCGCCUGGGGAGUACGGCGCAAGGCUG